GUACACUGCAGCCAGGACAGCUAGUGACAGCCAGUACUGAGUACACUGCAGCCAGGACAGGUAGUGACAGCCACCAGUGCUGAGUACACUGCAGCUAGGACAGGUAGUGACAGCCAGUACUGAGUACACUGAAGCCAGGACACAUAGUGACAGCCAGUGCUGAGUACAUUUCAGCUAGGGCAAGGAGUGAAAGCCAGUGCUGAGUACACUGCAGCCAGUGCUGAAUACACUGCAGCCAGGGAAGGCAGUGACGGCCAGUGCUGAGUACACAGCAGCCAGGGCAGGUAGUGACAGCCAGGACUAAGUACACUGCAGCCAAUGACAGCUAGUGCUGAAUACACUGCAGCCAGUGCUGAGUACAUUUCAGCCAGGGCAAGGAGUGACAGCCAGUGCUGAGUACACUGCAGCCAGUGCUGAGUACACUGCAGCCAGGGCAGGUAAUGACAGCCAGUGCUGAGUACACAGCAGCCAGGGCAGGUAGUGACAGUUAGUACUGAGUACACUGCAGCCAGGGCAGGUAGUGACAGACGGUGCUGAGUACACUUUAUCCAGUGACAGUCAGUGCUGAAUACACUGCAGCCAGGGCAAAUUGUGACAGCCAGUGAUGAGUACACUGCAGCCAAUGAUGGCUAGUGCUGAAUACACUGCAGCCAUGUCAGGCAGUGACAGCCAGUGCUGAUUACACUGCAGCCAGGGAAAGGAGUGACAGCCGUUGCUAAGUACACUGCAUCCUGUGACAACCAGUGCUGAGUACAUUGCCGCCAUGUCAGGUAGUGACAGCCAGUGCAGAGUACACGGCAGCCAGGUCAGGCAGUGACAGCCAAUGCUGAGUACAUUGCAGCCAGGACAGGUAGUGACAGCCAGUGCUGAGUACAUUUCAGCCAGGGCAAGGAGUGACAGCCAGUGCUGAGUACACUGCAGCCAGUGCUGAGUACACUGCAGCCAGGGCAAGGAGUGACAGCCAGUGCUGAGUACACUGCAGCCAGUAACAGGUAGUGACAGCCAGUGCUGAAUACACUGCAGCCAGGGCAGGUAGUGACAGCCACCAGUGCUGAGUACACUGCAGCCAGGACAGGUAGUGACAGCCAGUGCUGAGUACACUGCAGCCAGGAU